AAAAAAAAAGCAGUCGCACACACCUCCCGAUCCAAUCUCAACCUCCAGCGCGCCGCCACCUCCUGCCCCGCCCGACGCCGGCGACGGUCGAUCCGAUGUUCGCCGGCCGUCGGCACCACUUGCGCCGCCCAACCUCGCUGCCAGCUGCGUCGUAGCUAAGGGGGCAACAGUCGCCGCUGCCCCACCUUGUCAUGCCGUUCACGGAGGCGAGGCGACCACCGCCACCGUAGGGCCCAGCGUCGCCUCCCACCUGCGCCGCCCUGCGCCGCUGCCACGUAGGCGACCGCCGCCGCCCACCUGCGUUCAAGGAGGCGAGGCGACCACCGCCACCGCAGGUAUUUCGUCAGCUUCGGCCACCUGUUUGUUCAUAAGGGGGUACACAGGAACCCUGAGUUCAAAUUCUUCUCCCAGAAGUUGAAUACAGGUCAGCAUGGAUUGGAAGCUCAAGCGAUCGAAGAGCGUUCCUAAGCUCAAGAACGGAUCGCCCACGAGUCCGACUAAAGGUAAUUCAUUUGGUUGUCCACUUCCCUCUACUCUGUUCAUUAAGAGGCAUGUUUUUUCCUUGGACUCAACGUGUGUAGGAUUCUCCCUUCAUUUGCUUUGAGAUUUACAGAAAACUGUUAUGUAUAGGAAAAGGCAAAGAAAAACAAGAAUAAAGUUAAAAGAAACAUGCUAAUCAAGUAUUUUUUUGUUCAGCUUCACCUAAGAGCCUAAAGUGGCAUGACGGGCACCAAACUAAACAAGAAUAAAGUUAAAACUCAAUUAUUUUCUGCCAACAAGAGAUUCUUGGAUGAUGCACUGAACUAUCUCUGAAUAUUUAUGCGCGAAUCAAAUACAUAAUAACAUGUAUAUUUCCGGUUGUAGAACUCCAUACUACAUAUAUUGAGAUUGAUAACUUCACAUUAUAAAAGCAACACUAAGAUGCUGGUAACCAGAAACAUUAAUAUUGCUGGUUACCAUCGUUUUGGAAAACACUUGACGCAUUGAGGAGACGCCCUUUUUCGAAAACAGAAACGACCACUAGGAAAACAUUCAGAAUAACCCCUGUACCCAGGCAAAUAGAUCAAAACUGGAAUUUGAUAUGAAUUGGGUGUGCUUUCUAAGAUUUGUUUAAAUCGGGUUUAUAUUAUGUGAACUCCAUUUGAAUUUUAGUGAUUUUACACCCUUGCAUUUGGAUCCGAGGUUCUAUAUGAAUAUAUUUUUAGCAAAUUACGUGUCGAAUUUCUGGUUACUAUGGCAUCUGCAUUAUUUUCUGCCAACAAGAAAUAAAUUAUGUUAUAUCUGUCAUCUUAAUUAUUGUAGUUUCCAAAUGCAAUGCACCAUGAUAUUCAUGGACUCUAGGUUCAGUGCUCUACUGGCUUAGCUUGCAUCCUCCUGGUCAACGUGUUAUCUUUCUUCCUGUUUUUUGACUCUCAAGAGUAGUUAGAUAGAAAUACACAAAAUAAUCCUUGUUAAGGGCAGCAUGCCAAAGAUCUAUUUAAUCCCCCAGAUUCAAACAUAUGUCACCAUUUGACCCAACAGGAGUAGUUUCAAAAGCAAAAUAUUCUUUUAGUAAAAUAAUAUUUAAUCUGUGUGUGUAUCUUACCCACUUGAUUAUUGAGUACCGUCGUUUGUCUGUCCAUUCGGUUUCUCAUAUGAAGCUACUGAAUCUGACAAUUCCUUUUAUUUUACAACACUAUUGCUUAUUUUUCCUAUCAAAAAUAAACUAGAGUGAAUUAACGAUUUGUGUUUUUUUAGAUGUUCUCGGUUGGGUGUCCUCUCUACUACUGAAGUUUUACCACCAUCUGGUGGUGUUUGAGAGCAGAGACGUCAUACUUUCAUCAGCAACGGCCAAAUCCCCAGCGCCGCCGAUGAUGUACAUCCUUGUACCCCUUGACUGUACCCCUUGACAUCCAGUACCUCGCGUCUGCUCAACUUGAACACCUCCUCAGUACGUACAUCUCUGAAUUUUGCCCUUGCUUGAGAAGGCCGAGCAUUGUUUUGUUGUAGCUAUAAUUUGAGUUUAGAAGAUAUACUCCUCUCUUUUUGACGUCAAUUUUUUCAGUUGAUUUUGCUCGAGGAUGGUGCCCUUUAUG
rnacentral:lncRNA from 1 species